UACGGGGGGGGCAAGCGUUGUUCGGAAUUACUGGGCGUAAAGGGCUCGUAGGCGGCCAACUAAGUCAGACGUGAAAUCCCUCGGCUUAACCGGGGAACUGCGUCUGAUACUGGAUGGCUUGAGAUUGGGAGAGGGAUGCGGAAUUCCUGGUGUAGCGGUGAAAUGCGUAGAUAUCUGGAGGAACACCGGUGGCGAAGGCGGCAUCCUGGACCAACACUGACGCUGAGGAGCGAAAGCCAGGGGAGCAAACGGG
rnacentral:rRNA from 1 species